CUGGAAGUGACCCAGGAAGUGACAGUGAACUGCCUCUCUCCGAUUAGUUUUGCCCGAGCUUUAUUUUUGUCUGUCUCAGCUAGAAAUGCUCUGAGUAGCUACAAAAAGAAGACCAGCCUAUCCUGCUGGAGAGAGUGGCCAGGUGAAGAAAGAGCCCUUGGAGUGUGAAAGACCACAGGGAAAGAGAGACCACAUGGAACCAACAGUCAGCACCUUGGUUUUGGACAUGUGAAGAAAUUCAUCUCACUCUGUGUAACCUAAAUCAGGCACUUGCCAAAUGCAACUACAUGAGCGAGACCAGUUGACAACACACGGAGCAGAGCCACACAGCUGAACUACCGGACAUGUGAAUGAAGCUAGUUUGGAAGUUCCAGCCCUGGCUAAACACCCAGCUGAGUGCAGCCACCUGAGUGACCCCAGCCAAUAAUAUCCAGAGCAGGAGAAUCAUCCAGUUCUCAGUGUCUCCUCUAGAAGGCGCUUUCAAUCUUCCAACCACAGCUUGGGAGGUUGUUCCAGUCUUGCUGACUUUUAGUGAGAAGAAAACAGUUUCCAGCGAAGGAGUUCCCACUCUGAAGAAUAUGGAUGAGGAUUCAGAGUCGUCCUCCACCCUCGGGGAUGGAGCCAAAUUUAGGGCUCCUUGGGCACAGGCAUAAAGGUGGACCCGUCUUCUAGACACUGGCCAAACACACACAAAAAGUGAGAACUUGCAGAAGAGGGAAGAAAGGAAAGAGACAUCAUGACGCCCAGCAGGAAAUGAGAUUUUGCAGGCUGACCUGAUAGAAUAAAGAAAUAUAUGUUUGUUAUCAUUUUUCUGACUCACUGUAUUGUGACCAAUCAUAGUGUUUUUAUUUUUACUAAGACCUUUACCAGGCUUUACUUGGUUUGUAACUCUUGAGUUACCUUUAAGGAUAAUUGAAUUUUAUCUCUUUCUGUCUAACUUACAGAUUUUCUCUACAUAAGUUUUUUUGACAACUCUACUUCAGUAUAAAGGAUAUUUAAGUAUUUUAAUUGUACAGUUUUAUGAGUUUUGACACAUGCAUAUACACCUGAAGCCAUCACCACAUUCAUGAGGGGGAGGACACCCAAAUUUCUUUGUGUCCAUCUCUUCCUUAUCUUGCCUCCUUGCCCCUUCACCAGGCAGCAACUGAUCUGUGUUCUGUCAUUAUAAAUUAGUUUGAAUUUUCUAGUAUUUUACGUAAAUGGAAUUACAUAGUAUGUCUUGUUUUUAUCUGGUUUAUUUCACUCAACCUCCCUGUUGCUAGUAUUGAUAGUUCCUUAUUAUUGUCCAGUAGUAUUCUAAAAUUUAUUAUCUAUUUACUUGAUGAUGUGCAUCUGGGGCUCUUAACUAUUACAAAUGGAGCUACUAUGAACAUUUGUGUGUACAAGUCUUAGUGUGGACAUAUACUGUUAUUUCUCUGGAGUAAAUACCCAGGGGUGGAAAGACUGGGUUCAUAUAAUAGAUGUGGUUUCACUUUUAAAGAAAAUGCCAAACUGAUUGUACCAUUUAAAUUCUAGCUGGCAAUGUUAUGAAAUAUCAAUUGCCCUUAUCUUGUCAAUCUUUGUUAUGAUCAGCCUUUCCAAUUUUAGCCAUUCUAGUGGAUGUGUAAUAAUAAUAUUGUGGCUUUGAUUUGCAUUUCACUAAUGGCUAAUGACGUUGAGUAUCUUUUCAUGUAUAUAUUUGCCAUAUGCAUGUCUACUUUGAAGAAAUGUCUGUUCAGAUCUUUUGCCUAUUUUCCCCAAUUGAAUUGUUUUCUUUUCUUU